rnacentral:rRNA from 1 species
AGUGGAUGGGGAGCAACCUAGUUGUGCGUGUGUAAAGGUAGUGCCAAGAAAAGCGGUGAUCAUGAUGAAAAUCAAUUCCCGGUACCCGAAACCGACACAGGUGGGCAAGUAGAGAAUACUAAGGGGCGCGAGGUAACUCUCUCCAGGGAACUCGGCAAAAUGACCCCGUAACUUAGGGAGAAGGGGUGCCACCGAGAGGUGGUCGCAGUGAAGAGGCCCAGGCGACUGUUUAGCAAAAACAUAGGUCUCUGCAAACUCGAAAGAGGAGGUAUAGGGGCUGACGCCUGCCCAGUGCCGGAAGGUUAAAGAAGUUGGUCAGUCUUAGGAUGAAGCUAGCGACUGAAGCCCCGGUGAACGGCGGCCGUAACUAUAACGGUCCUAAGGUAGCGAAAUUCCUUGUCGGGUAAGUUCCGACCCGCACGAAAGGCGUAACGAUCUGGGCGCUGUCUCGGAGAGAGGCUCGGCGAAAUAGGAUUGUCUGUGAAGAUACGGACUACCUGCAUUUGGACAGAAAGACCCUAUGAAGCUUUACUAUAGCUUGGAAUUGUGUUCGGGCUUCCUGUGCGCAGGAUAGGUGGGAGGCGAAGAAGGUAUUCUUGUGGGGAUACUGGAGCCAACGGUGAGAUACCACUCUCAGGAGGCUAGAAUUCUAACUUAAUUAAGGACAGUUUCAGGUGGGUAGUUUGACUGGGCGGUCGCCUCCAAAAAGGUAACGGAGGCGUACAAAGGUUCCCUCAGACUGGUUGGAAAUCAGUCGCAGAGUGCAAAGGCAGAAGGGAGCUUGACUGCGAGAAGUACAGUUCGAGCAGGGUGGAAACACGGUCUUAGUGAUCCGACGGUGCUGUGUGGAAGGGCCGUCGCUCAACGGAUAAAAGUUACUCUAGGAUAACAGGCUGAUCUCCCCCAAGAGUUCACAUCGACGGGGAGGUUUGGCACCUCGAUGUCGGCUCAUCGCAACCUGGGGCGGAAGUACGUCCCAAGGGUUGGGCUGUUCGCCCAUUAAAGCGGUACGUGAGCUGGGUUCAGAACGUCGUGAGACAGUUCGGUCCAUAUCCGAUGUAGGCGUGAGAAUAUUGAGAGGAGCCUUCCUUAGUACGAGAGGACCGGGAAGGACGCACCGCUGGUGUACCUGUUAUGAUGCCAAUUGUAAACGCAGGGUAGCCAAGUGCGGAGAGGAUAACCGCUGAAAGCAUCUAAGUGGGAAGCCCACCUCAAGAUGAGUAUUCUGGUGUAAGGUCACGGGAAGACGACCCGUAAAUAGGCACGAGGUGGAAGUGCAGAGAUGUAUGAAGCCGAAGUGUACUAAUAGACCGUCGGCUUGACC